GAGUUUGAUCAUGGCUCAGAACGAACGCUGGCGGCAUGCCUAACACAUGCAAGUCGAACGAGACCUUCGGGUCUAGUGGCGCACGGGUGCGUAACGCGUGGGAAUCUGCCCUUGGGUUCGGAAUAACAGUUAGAAAUGACUGCUAAUACCGGAUGAUGACUUCGGUCCAAAGAUUUAUCGCCCAGGGAUGAGCCCGCGUAGGAUUAGCUUGUUGGUGAGGUAAAAGCUCACCAAGGCGACGAUCCUUAGCUGGUCUGAGAGGAUGAUCAGCCACACUGGGACUGAGACACGGCCCAGACUCCUACGGGAGGCAGCAGUGGGGAAUAUUGGACAAUGGGCGAAAGCCUGAUCCAGCAAUGCCGCGUGAGUGAUGAAGGCCUUAGGGUUGUAAAGCUCUUUUACCCGGGAUGAUAAUGACAGUACCGGGAGAAUAAGCCCCGGCUAACUCCGUGCCAGCCGCCGCCGUAAU
rnacentral:rRNA from 1 species